UAUUGUCAGUUCAAAUUGCCAUGAUACACGCGUAAGUCGUAUGUCAGCAACGAAUUCUUUGUGCGAGACCCUCGAUUGGCUUUAAAUAUUUCAUUACACUAAAGCCCUAAAGCGUUGGUGAGUGGUGAUGGUCCACUUGUCGAAUAAUAGCCUUCAGUGGCUAAAAGAUGGCAGAUUCUGGUGGUGCCGAAUUGAAUGAGGAUGAAUUCCUGUGUUGCAGUAUUUGCUUCCAUAAAUAUGAUCUCCAGCUCAUGCGACCUAAAGUGCUGCCUUGCUCACACACAUUUUGUUUCACCUGUCUCAAGGCUCUCCAUUCAGGAAACAUUUUGAAAUGCCCCGUGUGUCGACGCAAUGCCGUCGAAAUCACAGACGUUAUGACCUUACCGAACAACAAAUACGUUCAGUACAUCGUACAUCUCAGUGAAAAGUUACGGGAUGCUCAAGCCCAGAUAAAACGUAAUAAUGUCAUUGAAAUUUCAUCAAAACCAGCCCCCAAAAUUUUGCGCGUUAUAGACUGGGGACGAUUGGUCAGUGGAUGCACAAGUUUCAGUAGGAUUAUGCUCCUACAAAAUCCCGACUUAUUGUAUUCGUUAAAGAAAUCGAUGGAGAUCUACUUCUUCUUAAAAAAGCUUUCCCAAAGUUCAAGUUCAUAACAUCCGAAGAGCUAAGAGUUUUAGUAAUUCUUAACGAAACUGUCUCUUAAUGACUCCUACUUCCACUUAACCUUAAGUCUUCCUAAAGAUGCAGGUAGUCUUCGCAAAGAUUUCAUUCUCGAAGUGAAUGCGCACUUUGGUCCA